rnacentral:misc_RNA from 1 species
UGCGCGCGUGAGAACAAUCAGAGGCGGCACUCUCGCUAUCGCUAGCAGCAACGCUGGCCCUUCCUGCUUUCAAGUUUGUGAGGGUUGCGGUGGGCGAUAGUGCACCGCUUACAGGACCUUAUUUCGUACUCGAAGUGUGAGAGGGUACGACAUUACGCACUCCCGCGACACCGUUGCCACACAGCUGCCCAGCUUCUUUGAGCGUCUGGUAAUUGGUUCCCUUGGCCGCCGUGAUCGGCAACAAGCACCGCGCAACCUGGCGGCGUCUCUCUGAGUUAUUUAAGCGAGAGCGGCUCAUUGCUGACGCCAUGACGGCCCACGCCGCUGUGAUACCGUGCCUGCAGAGGUACGCGCGCCUCAGCGCUAGCGUCUUUGCUAGCCCCGAUGACGCCGAGACCCAAGCAGCGCUUUCACUUUUGCUCCAGUACCUGUCACUUCAGAGUUGCAACACCAGCGAGGUCGAAGCGCUCGAGCAGUGGUGUCGCAAGCAAGGGAACGAAGAACGGUUGAAGAAGUGCGGCGGUGAGGUCACGGCAGUGGUGAAGCGACGUGUUACGCAGCGGGCUCGCGUGCUCUCCGAGGCCGUGGCUAACAGGCAGGAUAUGCUCGUGACAGAUGCGCGAAGCACCGGGGUGCCCGCCGUUGUAUGCUCCGCUGGCGCACAUGACAGUGGGCGUAGCGGGACAGCGACACUGGUGCAGUGGUGGCACCUCAGCGACGAUGACCCGUGGAACUUCACCGCGUCCGCGUCCUGCUCACAGGCUACGCGGGGCUGGAGCGACGGAUACCGAUUUGUUUGCCUGAAGGAGGCGCUCACGUUGGUGGGGCCCUACCUCGACCUAAUGCGGCAGGCUGCCGCCACGGGAGACUGGGAAAGCGUCUCGCGCCUCUUCAUCGAGGCGACGAGCUACGUCAACCGCGUCUCCUUCAGGGACGAUCCGGCGGCCAUCUUCGGGUCUCUAGAGCUGUCGCGGUUGCACCUCGCUCUAACUUUUGCCAGCCGCGGCGGUGUCGCUUCAGUAGAGAAAGUGCUACAGCAGGUGCGGGUAAACGACGAUAUGCGACGAGCUGCGGCACUGCUUGACGGGCUUGGCGCGAGGGAGAGAGGCACUGCGGAGCUGCACUCGCCACCCAAUGCGUCGGCGGCCUCGGUUUCCAAAGUGCAGGCAUACUGGCGCUUGAUACUGUCGUACAGCACAUUCUUCAACACUGUCGCCGCCUACGUGGACGGCUCAUUGGGGAGGUUCGAAAGCUGUGCCAAGGCGCUUCUAGGGGACGGUACAGAAACGGGCGCUUGCCUCUGGGGAGCCGCACGGUAUCCUAACAUACACUUCUGCUUGCCACAUUCCACUUCUCGCGUUAGGCAGCCCAACGCUCAGCCAGGCGGACCCAAGACACAGUCGGGCGCGUGCACCGUGAUGCCGGUUCUGUUUCCCUACUCUUCCAGCCACGUCCGCGCCAGCGCCUCGGAUCACUAUCUGGAUGAGUUCGCGCCGUUGGUCACGCGCGUAAUUGCUCCUGCUUCGUCCUUCAGCACUCUUGUCGUACUGUCGGCCGUUGGCACUCUUCCGCUUCACGUGGCACUCACACAGUUGCGCACGUGUGUAGAGUUGCGGGAAGUCUACGAGGGCUGCAGUGAGCUCACCAGCCUCCUCGACGCCCUUUGGCGCGGGCAACUGGGAGUUGCCUGGAGGUGCGCUAAAGAAGCAGCAGCUCGCUACUUGAAUCGUGAACCGCACGUGCAAGACUCUGUCGCGAAGAAGCUGCUCCAAUAUGUGAGGCGUAGUGUCUGCUUCCAUUACCUGCGUGUGCGGCGAACAGCACUCAUAAGCGACGCGGCAGUGGAUUUAGGGUUCGAAUCAUCCGAGGAAGUCGUGGAGACGGCGACUGCCCUCAUCUCCUGCAACUACAUUGACGCACGCAUUGACUUGGUCAAAGGGGCGAUUUGCAGCAAUGAGCUAGACGAGAGGAGUGAGGUGAUGAUGGAGGUCAAGGCCGAGGCAACCGCGCUUGCCAAGCUGAGCUUUUCGGCGCUGAAGGUGCGGCUUGCGUGCUUGUCAGCGGAGCGGAACCUGAUCGCUUUUCCAGGUGAUGGUUGACCGUCUUUGCUGGGCAGCGUAGUUGGGAUCACGGGUGGGCAGGACGGGGACCUUGGAGAAGUGCGCUGAUGUGCGCGGGCGAUGCACCUCCUCAGCCAGCUUAUUCGUUACCCCCCCGACAAAAUGUUGUCUUCAGUUGCUGUGGUGUCAUCUUUCAUGGCUGCUGUUCUGCUCCUGCCUCGUCUGUUUUUUCUUUGCGUGUCGCUGCUUCUGUUGUACCCAUUGGUGGCCUGGGCAUUCCCUUUGCAACUGAGCAGGCUGCAGUAGCUCGAUGGCUUCGGCGGUGCCGGCAUGGACUUGUCUCAACUGUUCGCCACCGACAGAAUAGUGUUGUGUCUCUUUCCCUCUCUCAUCAUCUUUCAUGCUCUGUGUGUCUCCGUCUGCGCGUGCGUGGUUCAUCUGCGUUCGACAUUUUUCGUUUUAGCUGGCUCGCGCCUCUUCCCUUCUGCACCGUCUUCUCGGAGAAUCAGAGCUG